UGACGGUACCCUUUCGAAUAAGAGGUUGCUAACUCUGUGCCAGCAGCAGCGGUAAUACAGAGACCUCGAGCGUUAUCCGGAUUUACUGGGCGUAAAGCGUCUGUAGGGGGUUUGUUAAGUUCCAAGUAAAAUCUUAAGGCUCAACUUUAAGUUCGCUUGGAAAACUAAUAAACUGGAGUCCAGCAGAGGUGCAUGGAACUUGCGGUGUAGGAGUGAAAUCCGUUGAUAUCGCAAGGAACACCAAAGGCGAAGGCAUUGCACUGGGCUGGUACUGACCCUGAGAGACGAAAGCGUGGGGAGCAAAACGGAUUAGAUACCCGUGUAGUCCACGCCGUAAACGAUGGAUACUAGAUGUUCGGGGAUUCGACCCCCUGGGUGUCACAGCUAACGCGUUAAGUAUCCCGCCUGGGAAGUACGGCCGCAAGGCUAAAACUCAAAGGAAUAGACGGGGAUCCGCACAAGCGGUGGAGCGUCUGGUUUAAUUUGAUAGUAAGCAAUGGACCUCACCAAGGUUUGACAUCCUAUGACAACCCUGGAAACAGGGCUUCCUUCGGGCAUAGUGACAGGUGCUGCAUGGUCGUCGUCAGUUCGUGCCGUGAGGUGUUCCGUUAAGUCGGAAAACGAACGAAACCCUCGUCGCAUGUUACAAAUUUCAUGCGAGACUGCCCGGGUCAACCGGGAGGAAGGCGGGGAUGACGUCAGAUCAGCAUGGCCCUUAUACCUUGGGCUACACAGGCGCUACAAUGGCCGGUACAAAGGGUUGCAAAACCGCGAGGUGAAGCUAAUCCCAUAAAGCCGGUCCAAGUUCGGAUUGGAGGCUGCAACUCGCCUCCAUGAAGUUGGAAUCGCUAGUAAUCGUGGAUCAGCCAUACCACGGUGAAUACGUUCCCGGAUCUUGUACUCACCGCCCGUCACACCAAGAGAGUUGGUAGCUCCUGAAGCGUCGCAUUAG
rnacentral:rRNA from 1 species